AUUGAACGCUGGCGGCAGGCUUAACACAUGCAAGUCGAGCGGAGCGAGGGUGCUUGCACCUUAGCUUAGCGGCGGACGGGUGAGUAAUGCUUAGGAAUCUGCCUAUUAGUGGGGGACAACAUUCCGAAAGGAAUGCUAAUACCGCAUACGCCCUACGGGGGAAAGCAGGGGAUCUUCGGACCUUGCGCUAAUAGAUGAGCCUAAGUCGGAUGAGCUAGUUGGUGGGGUAAAGGCCUACCAAGGCGACGAUCUGUAGCGGGUCUGAGAGGAUGAUCCGCCACACUGGGACUGAGACACGGCCCAGACUCCUACGGGAGGAAGCAGUGGGGAAUAUUGGACAAUGGGGGGAACCCUGAUCCAGCCAUGCCGCGUGUGUGAAGAAGGCCUUAUGGUUGUAAAGCACUUUAAGCGAGGAGGAGGCUCUUUUGGUUAAUACCCAAGAUGAGUGGACGUUACUCGCAGAAUAAGCACCGGCUAACUCUGUGCCAGCAGCCGCAGUAAAAC
rnacentral:rRNA from 1 species